UCGGUAAUUUGACUAAUUUCUCCAAAGCAACCACCGGAGCGAAGACUCGUCCCUGAACCCUAAUUCGCCGCACGUUCCACCGCCAUCAACUUCUCCGACGACAUGGCCAGACGCAACGACAGACUACCUCCACCGGAAAAUCCAAACACCGAUUACCGGUUAAAGUGGAGAAGACCUCAUCGUUCGGGACCAUCAGAUGCUCACUUUAAACGGCGCCGGUUGGCGCCGAAGUCGGAAACUUCGACCGGAACCCACAAACCUCACCGGUUGAACCGGUUUCAAGCCUUUAGUUCUUCGUCCCAAAAUCGUAGAAAGAAGAGAAGAGUUGGAAAAUCCGGCGGCAGCAGCAGCCGCGGAGCGUGUUCCCGAAGAUGGGUUUUUUCUUCCGCAGAUUGUUCCAACUACAAUGAUAAGGUUACUAUAGUUUCAUACAACAUACUCGGUGUUGAAAAUGCGUUAAAGCAUCUGGAUUUGUAUGCGAAUACUCCACGUAGUUUCUUGGAGUGGGAGAGGCGGAAAAGGCUCAUAUUUGAAGAGAUCAAUACCUACAAUGCAAGCGUGUUGUGUUUCCAGGAGGUUGAUCAUUUCAAUGACCUGGAUAAUCUAUUCCAAAACAAUGGCUUCAAAGGUGUUUAUAAGGCUCGCACAGGGGAUGCGCAUGAUGGUUGUGCUUUAUUCUGGAAAGACAAAUUAUUCACUCUUUUGCAUCAAGAAGAUAUAGAGUUCCAAAGAUUUGGUCUCCGUAACAAUGUUGCCCAGCUUUGCGUUUUGGAGGCACGAAAUGAUAAACCAGAAUCCGAAACAUCUGGACUAACAACAGUGACAUCAUCUACCCAAAGAAAAAGAUUUGUAAUAGGAAAUAUACAUGUGCUCUUCAACCCAAAUCGUGGAGACAUCAAACUUGGCCAGGUCAGACUUUUACUUGAUAAAGCUUACAAGUUAUCAGAAGAAUGGGGUAGUAUCCCUGUUAUUAUUGCUGGGGAUUUAAAUAGUCUUCCACAGAGUGCAAUAUAUGAAUUCCUGGCUUCUUCCAAGCUAGACAUCCAAUUGCAUAAUCGCAAAAAUAUGUCCGGACAACUUGAAAUACAGUCCAAUAGCAGAGUUUUCAGAUCACAGAUUGGUUGUGAAGCUAGCAUUUCAAUAUCCCGUUCAAGGCAAUUUCUUCAUGGAUGGACCAUGGAAGAGCUAAACCUUGCAGCUGGCGCAAUUGGAGUCACCAAUCUUCAGCAUCAUCUAAACCUCCGCAGUGCUUACAGUGGUGUUCCUGUAUGGUGUUUUAAUCUGCCAAUCAUAUUUUUGGGUUUCUUCCAACUAAAAUUGUUACAGUCUGCUACUUCUGCUCUUCAGGGGGGAGAAAUUGUCAUUUUAAUUGAAUAUGUUUAUCUUCAGCACCUUCUAGCUCGACAGUACUCAGAAUGGUGCCCUUGUUUUAUGUUUUAAUCUGGCAGCCAUUUUUCCGUCUCUAAUCUAAUUUCUCUUAAAUUGUUUCGAUCUGCUAAUUAUGCUCUUUGGAGCAAGUAGCUUUUUUUUUGUCGGAUAUGUUUCAGUUUCUGGGAAUUGAUAUUUAGAAGUUAAUCUUGCAUAAAUCUCAUAGUUUCUGCUGCAGGGAAACCAUGGCACAAGAGAUGAUAUUGGGGAGCCCUUGGCAACAUCAUACCACUCCAAGUUCAUGGGAACUGUUGAUUAUAUUUGCGGUAAAUAGGCAUUCGGAGGAACUCACUCCAGUAAGAGUUCUUGAAACCUUGCCCAUUGAUAUUCUUAGAAGAACUGGAGGACUCCCCAGUGAGCAAUGGGGAAGUGACCACCUUGCACUUGUAUGCGAAUUAGCUUUUGCAAAUAAUGGGACGGUGUCAUGAUUGUUUCAAUGUGCAACUCUAACCGUUCGGCGUUCCCUGAAUAUGUGGGGUCCAUCCGAGCUUAAAAGGCUUAUUAACAAGGGUGGAGCUUGAGGGGAGCCAAAGCAUUCCAGCGCAUCUCGUUAAAUCCUACAGUUGAUGUCUGCUCUCUUCCUCCUCGGACAUCCCUUGCGCGGCACAGUUAUUUCAUCACAAAGAAGCUUAUCAUUAAGUAGGAUUGUGAAUUGCACCUGAUGAUUGGAAGUAAAUAUCAUGUCACAAACGAGCUGCAAACCCUCCUCACCAGCUCCGAUGUUGCAUGCAAAUGCUUUCAGAUGCUUCAAGCAAUCUCUGCAUAGUGAAAGGGCUAGGUAUGCACUGGUUGAGUUUCAGAGAGUAUUCUAAUUGAGGGCCUCAUCACCCUUUUCUAGCUAUGAUUGUAGAACUCCAAUUCAAUACAAAUUAUGGCAUUAUUUUUAAACCUUCCUACAUUGCAACUCCUUGAUAUUAUGUUAAAAACAUCAGUUUUGUUAAGUCACAUCAUUCUUGUAAUUUUUUUUCUUUUGUUUGCUCAAGUUUCAUGUAACGGCCUAUGACACUACUUUGUUAGCUCUUGCAAUUCAAAAAUAAAAUAAAAUAAUGACUUGUGUCGCCUUCUCUGUAGAAAGGUCCGGAUGAUUAACUUCUGAGUAUACCGGUUUGUUCUUAAUUAGCCUCUCUUAUUU